AAAUAUUUUAAUUGCUGUAUUCAUUAUUGAGUGAAUACAUAUUAUCUGUGCUUUUGUGGGAAAGACACCUCAAUAUGGUCAGUAUUUACAACACCUAAGCAGUUACUUUGCUCCACCAUUGCAGAAUAUAACUAUGUAGCAUUGAAAAUUUUGCUAACCAUUGACCUGGAAAUCUUGGUUCAAAUGUUAAAGGGAGACUCCAGUGCCAGGAAAACAAUCAGUUUUCCUGGCACUGCAGGUUCCCUCUCCCUCCCACCCCCCAAUCC